rnacentral:rRNA from 1 species
CCUUACCUGGCCUUGACAUACUAAGAACUUUCCAGAGAUGGAUUGGUGCCUUCGGGAACUUAGAUACAGGUGCUGCAUGGCUGUCGUCAGCUCGUGUCGUGAGAUGUUGGGUUAAGUCCCGCAACGAGCGCAACCCUUUUCCUUAUUUGCCAGCGGGUUAAGCCGGGAACUUUAAGGAUACUGCCAGUGACAAACUGGAGGAAGGCGGGGACGACGUCAAGUCAUCAUGGCCCUUACGGCCAGGGCUACACACGUGCUACAAUGGUCGGUACAAAGGGUUGCUACCUCGCGAGAGGAUGCUAAUCUCAAAAAGCCGAUCGUAGUCCGGAUCGCAGUCAGCAACUCGACUGCGUGAAGUCGGAAUCGCUAGUAAUCGCGGAUCAGAAUGCCGCGGUGAAUACGUUCCCGGGCCUUGUACACACCGCCCGUCACACCAUGGGAGUUUGUUGCACCAGAAGUAGGUAGUCUAACCGCAAGGAGGACGCUUACCACGGUGUGGCCGAUGACUGGGGUGAAGUCGUAACAAGGUAGGCGUAGAUGA